rfam:Cavia porcellus supercont2_8 genomic scaffold, whole genome shotgun sequence.
AGCUUUGCGCAGUGGCAGUAUCAUAGCCCAUGAGGUUUAUCCGAAGCGGGAUGAUUGCUAAUUGAAACUAUGGUGUCAGUACUGUUUUGCACUUAAAAAUUAUUAGAGCUUUAAUGAUCUUUUGUUUGUGUAAGAGGUACA